UACGGGGGGGGCAAGCGUUGUUCGGAAUUACUGGGCGUAAAGGGCUCGUAGGCGGCCAACUAAGUCAGACGUGAAAUCCCUCGGCUCAACCGGGGAACUGCGUCUGAUACUGGAUGGCUUGAGUUUGGAAGAGGGAAGCGGAAUUUCAGGUGUAGCGGUGAAAUGCGUAGAUAUCUGAAGGAACACCAGUGGCGAAAGCGGCUUCCUGGUCCAGCACCGACGUUCAGGCACGAAAGCGUGGGGAGCAAACAGG
rnacentral:rRNA from 1 species